CGGGGGGGGCAAGCGUUGUUCGGAAUUACUGGGCGUAAAGGGUUUGUAGGUGGCUUGUUAAGUCAGACGUGAAAUCCCUCAGCUUAACUGGGGAACUGCGUCUGAUACUGGCGAGCUUGAGUGCAGGAGAGGAACGCGGAAUUCCAGGUGUAGCGGUGAAAUGCGUAGAUAUCUGGAGGAACACCGGUGGCGAAGGCGGCGUUCUGGACUGCAACUGACACUGAAAAACGAAAGCCAGGGUAGCAAACGGGAUUAGAUACCCCGGUAGUCUUGGCCCUAAACGAUGAAUGCUUGGUGUGGCGGGUAUCGAUCCCUGCCGUGCCGAAGUUAACGCGAUAAGCAUUCCGCCUGGGGAGUACGGUCGCAAGGCUG
rnacentral:rRNA from 1 species